UAGGGAAUCUUCGGCAAUGGACGAAAGUCUGACCGAGCAACGCCGCGUGAGUGAAGAAGGUUUUCGGACCGUAAAACGCGGUUGUUAGAGAAGAACAAGGAUGAGAGUAACUGUUCAUCCCUUGACGGUAUCUAACCAGAAAGCCAAGGCUAACUACGUGCCAGCAGCUGCGGUAAUACGUAGGUGGCAAGCGUUGUCCGGAUUUAUUGGGCGUAAAGCGAGCGCAGGCGGUUUCUUAAGUCUGAUGUGAAAGCCCCCGGCUCAACCGGGGAGGGUCAUUGGAAACUGGGAGACUUGAGUGCAGAAGAGGAGAGUGGAAUUCCAUGUGUAGCGGUGAAAUGCGUAGAUAUAUGGAGGAACACCAGUGGCGAAGGCGGCUCUCUGGUCUGUAACUGACGCUGAGGCUCGAAAGCGUGGGGAGCAAACAGGA
rnacentral:rRNA from 1 species